GAUGAAGAACGCAGCGAAAUGCGAUAAGUAAUGUGAAUUGCAGAAUUCAGUGAAUCAUCGAAUCUUUGAACGCACAUUGCGCCCGCCAGCAUUCUGGCGGGCAUGCCUGUCCGAGCGUCAUUUCAACCCUCAGGGUCCCUCCGCCUCGCGCGGUCGGAGCCUGGUGUUGGGGAUCGGCCCGCCCCGCGCGGCGCCGUCCCCCAAAUACAGUGGCGGUCCCGCCGCAGCCUCCCCUGCGCAGUAGUUAUAAACUCGCACUGGAGCGCGGCGCGGCCACGCCGUAAAACCCCCGACCUUUAGAAAGUUGACCUCGGAUCAGGUAGGAAUACCCGCUGAACUUAAGCAUAUCAAUAAGCGGAGGA
rnacentral:misc_RNA from 1 species